GAUGAACGCUGGCUACAGGCUUAACACAUGCAAGUCGAGGGGAAACGCCGGGGAAGCUUGCUUCCCCGGGCGUCGACCGGCGCACGGGUGAGUAACGCGUAUCCAACCUGCCUCUGACUGAGGGAUAACCCGUCGAAAGUCGGCCUAAUACCUCAUGGCAUCGUCUGCGGGCAUCCAACGACGAUUAAAGAUUUCAUCGGUCAGGGAUGGGGAUGCGUCUGAUUAGCUUGUUGGCGGGGUAACGGCCCACCAAGGCUACGAUCAGUAGGGGUUCUGAGAGGAAGGGCCCCCACAUUGGAACUGAGACACGGUCCAAACUCCUACGGGAGGCAGCAGUGAGGAAUAUUGGGCAAUGGGCGGGAGCCUGAACCAGCCAAGUAGCGUGCAGGAUGACGGCCCUAUGGGUUGUAAACUGCUUUUAGGCGGGGAUAAAGUGAGGGACGUGUCCUUCAUUGCAGGUACCGCAUGAAUAAGGACCGGCUAAUUCCGUG
rnacentral:rRNA from 1 species